UGGGGAAUAUUGGACAAUGGGCGCAAGCCUGAUCCAGCCAUGCCGCGUGAGUGAUGAAGGCCUUAGGGUUGUAAAGCUCUUUUGUCCGGGACGAUAAUGACGGUACCGGAAGAAUAAGCCCCGGCUAACUUCGUGCCAGCAGCCGCGGUAAUACGAAGGGGGCUAGCGUUGCUCGGAAUCACUGGGCGUAAAGGGCGCGUAGGCGGCCAUGUAAGUUGGGGGUGAAAGCCCGUGGGCUCAACCACGGAAUUGCCUUCGAUACUGCUUGGCUUGAGACCGGAAGAGGUGAGUGGAACUGCGAGUGUAGAGGUGAAAUUCGUAGAUAUUCGCAAGAACACCAGUGGCGAAGGCGGCUCACUGGUCCGGAUCUGACGCUGAGGCGCGAAAGCGUGGGGAGCAAACAGGAUUAGAUACCCUGGUAGUCCACGCUGUAAACGAUGAAUGCUAGCUGUUGGGGUGCUUGCACUUCAGUAGCGCAGCUAACGCUUUAAGCAUUCCGCCU
rnacentral:rRNA from 1 species